rnacentral:rRNA from 1 species
GGUCUGAGAGGAUGACCAGCCACACUGGAACUGAGACACGGUCCAGACUCCUACGGGAGGCAGCAGUGGGGAAUAUUGCACAAUGGGCGCAAGCCUGAUGCAGCCAUGCCGCGUGUAUGAAGAAGGCCUUCGGGUUGUAAAGUACUUUCAGCGGGGAGGAAGGUGUUGAGGUUAAUAACCUCAGCAAUUGACGUUACCCGCAGAAGAAGCACCGGCUAACUCCGUGCCAGCAGCCGCGGUAAUACGGAGGGUGCAAGCGUUAAUCGGAAUUACUGGGCGUAAAGCGCACGCAGGCGGUCUGUCAAGUCGGAUGUGAAAUCCCCGGGCUCAACCUGGGAACUGCAUUCGAAACUG